CAAUUCCAAGUGCCAUUGGAAACCUAAUUUCCCUUAGCAGGCUUGCCUUGUCAUACAACGAACUUGAAGGAGUAAUUCCAGUCACUUUGGGUGAGCUAACUUCUUUGACAUCUGUGGACCUUUCCUAUAACAAACUCAAUGGAAGUCUCCCCAUAUGUUUCGGAGCCCUUGAAAAAUUAGAAGAGGUGCAUUUUUCUCAUAAUUCAUUGGAGGGUG
rnacentral:misc_RNA from 1 species